AAGUCGUAACAAGGUUUCCGUAGGUGAACCUGCGGAAGGAUCAUUAACCAUUGGAUACCUUCGGGUAUAUCCCAUCCGUGUCUACAUACUCUUGUUGCUUUGGCAGGCCGUGGUCACCCACUGUGGGCUAUGCCUGCAUGCGCCUGCCAGAGGACCAAACUCUGAAUAUUAGUGAUGUCUGAGUACUAUAUAAUAGUUAAAACUUUCAACAACGGAUCUCUUGGUUCUG
rnacentral:misc_RNA from 1 species